rnacentral:hammerhead_ribozyme from 1 species
UUCCAGCUGACGAGCCCCAAAUAAGACAAAACGCUCGUCCUGGAU